AGCAACUAUAGCAAUUUGAAAGUAUACCCACUUAAAGAAAAAGGAAACUGACUUCUCACACUUCUCUAAAGCUCAAAAAAAUAAAUAAAGCCAUUAGUGAUUGGGGGAGGGGGGACUUUUAAAAAGUGCAGCUAUAGAAAUGCAGCUAAUUGGUCAGUUCGUGAGAUUUGAGGAAGUUAACAGCCACAGGAUGAGCUGAUGAUGUUUAAAUGAAGAGCUAUGAAUACAGAAUGAGAGAAAGACUGACAGAAACAAGAAAGUGCUUAUAAGUGUCUGCUUGGACUGAUCAUUCUCACAGGAAAACUUAUUCUGGAACAACAGUGUGGGCUGUGAGAUGAGAACAGAGACACACUGAGCUUUAACCACUAACCAUCGACCAACUGCUGACUGAUGAGGAAACAUCAUUAGCUUCUGAGAGACAAAGACAAACUGAACCACAGUGAUCUGAACUGAAGACAGCGACUGUAACACAUUUCAGUUUCAUUCAGCAACAUGAACGGUGAAUAUCAGGCCUUGAUGGAUGAAAACAAAACCAGAGCCAUAAUCUUCCUCAUCACUAGUGUUUGUGUGGGUCUUCCAGCUCUGGUUUUGGCUUUUCAACUUUUCCACCUUCACAGAAAGAUCAGAGGCCGAAUCUCAGUCUUCAUCCUCCUCCUCCUCCUCAAUGAUCUGAUACAAUUACUCCUUCAUCUAUAUAUACUGGCAAAUAUACUGACAGAAUACAGAUACUAUAUCCCUGAGCUUGUCCAGUUUUGGUUGGGAUUAUAUUGGUGUGGUUUUCAUCUGCAUCAGCUGGUGGCUCUGGAGGGGAUUGUGACUCUGAAAUAUCCGCUUUGUUCUGCUCGUAUUUUCUCAGUGCCCUGUUACAUCACAGUCUCCAUCCUUGUGCUUUUUUUUUCUACAGUGAGUGCAUUAUUUCUUUCUAUUCCUUUAGCUUGUCCACUUGGAACUUCAAACAAGUCAUUAUUCAGUCUCAGCACAAGUUUUGUUCCUCUGAUCGUAUUGUCUGUAUCAUCUACAAUCAGCUGUAAAGCCUCUUCCACUCCUGUCAGCAAAAACAUAUGUUCAUUGUUCAUUGUUGCUAGUCUUACAUAUGUUAUGAUGUACUUACCUUUAAUUUUCAUCACCUGGGUGGAUUUCUUUAAUUUAUAUCCAUAUGUCGACCCAUCUUGGUUCAUAAUAUCUCACUGUUUGAUGAGUUUGAGAGUGUUUUCAGGCCCUAUUCUGUGUGGUUUGGUCUGCAGAGAAAAUAUCAGAGAUGUUCAGACGCCACAAACACACACAGAACCCAACGCUGAUGAGACGUCAGUCUGAACUUGAGUUUCAUUAGUCCUCACGUCUGAAUCUGGCUUCAUAAAAAAACAUGAAAUGACCUGUAUAAUGAAAAGAAUUAAUAAAAUAAAUAAUAUAUGACUUAAAGAUUAAUUUGUAAGGUUUGUGGUUGCUCAAAGUGAAAGUGUGCUCUCUGUGCCACAAACAGCACAAACUGAGUUUCCAUCUCUUUAAUGAUCAUUUUGACAGUUUGUUUAAUUUUGUAAUAUAUGAAUAAUAUGUAAAAAAGUAAAAUCCAAAUUUGUCAUGAUCAUUGUUUAUGAUUGAUUUCAAUAUAUUUAGCAAUUGAAAGAAU